CCUACGGGGGGCAGCAGUGGGGAAUAUUGCACAAUGGGCGCAAGCCUGAUGCAGCCAUGCCGCGUGUGUGAAGAAGGCCUUCGGGUUGUAAAGCACUUUCAGCGGGGAGGAAGGCGGUGAGGUUAAUAACCUCAUCGAUUGACGUUACCCGCAGAAGAAGCGCCGGCUAACUCCGUGCCAGCAGCCGCGGUAAUACGGAGGGUGCAAGCGUUAAUCGGAAUUACUGGGCGUAAAGCGCACGCAGGCGGUCUGUCAAGUCGGAUGUGAAAUCCCCGGGCUCAACCUGGGAACUGCAUUCGAAACUGGCAGGCUAGAGUCUUGUAGAGGGGGGUAGAAUUCCAGGUGUAGCGGUGAAAUGCGUAGAGAUCUGGAGGAAUACCGGUGGCGAAGGCGGCCCCCUGGACAAAGACUGACGCUCAGGUGCGAAAGCGUGGGGAGCAAACAGGAUUAGAUACCCUAGUAGUC
rnacentral:rRNA from 1 species